CUCCAUUCGCUGUAGAAACAUCAGCUUGAGCUCUGAGAGGAUUUCUGUCUCUUCUCUGGUGAAUGUAAAUCAUGGAAAGACUGGUGACGUUCCUCCUCACUGGAUCUCUGAUACAAGGUGUUUUUUGUGAGUUCAGUAUCAAUCUGCCAAAGAAAGUAGAAGCUCUACAAGGAUCCUGUGUUUUCAUUCCCUGCACAUUUGAUGUUGAUAAAA